rnacentral:lncRNA from 1 species
GAGAAGUCUUGCUGUCAAGAAAUUAAAAAGAAAGUUCGUAUUUUGUCUGUAUUUAAUGUUAUCUGCUGCUUAAUUAGGGUUCUUAGGCUGUUAUCUUAGCAGGGUAGUAGAAUGUUGGUCUUAAUGUUUUGAAGAAUAUGUAAUUCAUGCUUGCUCUGAAUUGCAGAUUUAAUCAAGAAGUUCUCUCUGUUUCGAUAUUGUUUUCUUCUCUUUGAAACAGCAUGAAAUCAUUUUUGGAAUUCCUGGAACUGUAGAAUCAGUUAGAGAUGUAGCCUUCAUCGCUACAUUUUGUAAUCAGAUCCAGAUGUUUGAUAUGCAAGAAGCUCCGUGGGGAAUCCAAUCUAGAUAGUGUACAGAGAAGGGUUUGAUGUGCUUAUCUAGAAGAUCACUUUUUCAGUGGGGAAUCCAAUCUAGAUAGUGGGCAUCAAAGGCUACAUAUGGCCAAUUAAUCCAACUUCCAC